rnacentral:lncRNA from 1 species
ACAUUUGCUUUGAAUAUGUGGAACUUUGAAUUGUUCUAGCCUUGCAUUUGUUAUAUCUCCUGUUUAGACAUAACUAUUCGAAUUUGUGCAACUUCUGAGAUUCUGACCAUUUGAUACCGAGCUGCCUAUAAGUCUUUGUUGGAAACUCCGAUUUGUUCAAAACUGAUUUCAUUAGAAACUGGACUCGUAGAUCUUUCUUUUGAUAUAUGGAUUGAAAGAUUUGGAGUCCAAACACCUGCCCAGUUAUCUGUUGAAUCUGACCUUAUGAAUUCUGCCAAACAGAGAUUUUGUUCUGUGACCCUUGUUUACCAAAUUAUUUGUAACUCUCUGUGUUGGACA